GACGAACGCUGGCGGCGUGCUUAACACAUGCAAGUCGAACGGACCUUCGGGUUAGUGGCGAACGGGUGAGUAACACGUGGGUGAUCUGCCCUGCACUUUGGGAUAAGCCUGGGAAACUGGGUCUAAUACCGAAUAUGAUCGCUGGCUUCAUGGCUGGUGGUGGAACGCUUUUGCGGUGUGGGAUGGGCCCGCGGCCUAUCAGCUUGUUGGUGGGGUAAUGGCCUACCAAGGCGACGACGGGUAGCCGGCCUGAGAGGGUGACCGGCCACACUGGGACUGAGAUACGGCCCAGACUCCUACGGGAGGCAGCAGUGGGGAAUAUUGCACAAUGGGCGCAAGCCUGAUGCAGCGACGCCGCGUGAGGGAUGACGGCCUUCGGGUUGUAAACCUCUUUCGCCAGGGACGAAGCGCAAGUGACGGUACCUGGAGAAGAAGGACCGGCCAACUACGUGCCAGCCGCCGCGGUAAGAC
rnacentral:rRNA from 1 species